rnacentral:sRNA from 1 species
ACGGAAAGCCUCAGAACCUUUGGUCAUAGAGAACAUUGAGUCAGUGAUAGCCUUCACCAAUGAGAAGGAAACAGACAUCACGACACACAUGUCUACAACUACUACGGAACUGUCUCGUGAAUCUCAUACAACGUUCGGUCCACACUUCCAUCAAGGGGAGAGUGCCACUACGAGAAAGAACAUAUCUAUUGGUGACAUGAUCUCGCUCUAAUCAGCAUAACUGCUUCUGGCUAUUCCAUUAUAUCUGAGACAACUGACCGAGAUGUCUACGAGGUUUCAGGAAGACAGUUCUAUAAAGUUGAGGACACAAGAGGUCUAGUUCAAUCAACGACA